UAACCUACGGGACGCAGCAGUAGGGAAUCUUCCACAAUGGACGAAAGUCUGAUGGAGCAACGCCGCGUGAGUGAAGAAGGGUUUCGGCUCGUAAAGCUCUGUUGGUAGUGAAGAAAGAUAGAGGUAGUAAAUUGCCUUUAUUUGACGGUCAUUACUUAGAAAGUCACGGCUAAAUUCGUGCCAGCAUCCGCGGCAAUACGUAGGUGGCAAGCGUUUUCCGGAUUUAUUGGGCGUAAACUGCGUUCAGGCUG
rnacentral:rRNA from 1 species